AGACUUUGCUGCCCCCUCCCCAAAAUCCCUUAUCUGUGCCUCUUGGAUCACUUUGGGAAUAAACAAAGUUUAUCCAGUCCUUUCACUUGGGCUGGGGCAGGAUUUUAAUCCAAGACAUGGCUUUCUGUCCUCUUUGUAAUGUGUGACAGCUGACAUUGCAGCGCUCCGAUGCCACACUGACUCUAGAUGGUCAGGGCUGGAUCCUGCUCAGGUUAACAUUGGGGUGAAAUGUCCAUGGGACAGCAAAGCUCAGAGGAAUCCAGUGUCUUGUCUGCCACCAUGGAGAGGUGAGCCACCUGAGCCGUCUGAGCCGUCUGAGCAUCCUCACUCCACUAAGAGCUGCCUUCCCCCACGGCAGUUACUGUUUGCUGGCUGGCUCCUCUCUGUACGGCCACAGAUAAACAGAACAGUCAUCGGGUGGAGAUUUGGAGAAAUGGCGCUCUGAAACACAUGCCUGCCUUUAUCUUGCUGCAGAGGCAGGGACCUGGGUUCCACACCCGGAACACUCUGAAAAUGGCAGGUAUGGUAGAGCACACUUGUGAUCCCAGCACUGGGGAGGCAGAGGCAGGAGCACCCCUGCGGCGUGCUGGCUGACAGCCUAGUUCCAGGUUUAGAGAGAGACACUCUCUCACGGGAACACAGUGGAGAAUGAUGGCCCCCUGCAUCCUCACACACACACACACACACACACACACACACAUACACAUACACACACAUACACACAUACACAUGCACACACAUACACACACAUACACACACAUACACACACACAUACACACACAUACACACAUAUACACACACACACAUACACACACAUACACACACACAUACACACACAUACACACACACACACAUAUACACACACACACAUACACACACAUACACACACA
rnacentral:lncRNA from 1 species